UCUUGUCUGCCCAAGUUACUUACUCGUCUGUAAGCUCCCUGAGGGCAGGACUCAUAGUUUAGAUGCAACAUCAGUGUAUUAGAGCUGGGAAGAACCUCAGAGAUCCCUUACUCGGUGGAUCCCAGUCCCCCGGCACCCACUCCUGGGAUACUGAGUCUACAUCUGAGAAGUAUGAAAAAGUUCCCCAAGUGAUUUUGAUAAGCAUCUGGGCAAAUACCCUUGAUCGGGGCUAACUCUCUUGCAGCACUCACCAGGUGGUUAAGUGGCAGGGUCCAACCACAUCCAACAGGCUGGCCUAGGAGCUGGGGCACAAGCCCAUGUCUCCAAACACGUUUCACCCUCCCUGCCUUUGCUUUUGGAUGCCCCUAGGGCAGGGGCUGUGCUGGGCCCAGGGGGCCCGGGGUCGGGCCACAUACCUGGGUAGAAUGCUGCAGGAUAGCCAGCAGCCUCUCCUGGAUCCUCCGGAGCAGCUCCAUGCCCGUGCUGAGGCAGUCUGCCCGCAGGAGGCGCAGGGACGAGGCCAGGUCUCUGCACCGCAGCAGCGUCUCCUCUGCAGAGAGGGCAGGGCACAGGAGCUCCCUCCCUUCUUCCAUUCCUUCCUUCAACAAACACCUACUGAACAUCUACCAAGUUCUAUCAACACCUACCAGGCAUAGCCCUAGAUACCUAUUCUGGGGGCGGGGGGCGGGCUACAUCGUAGCAGAGGGGAACAGAUGGUAAUCAAACCGGUCAGGUGAAGCCCUUAGGCACCUGAGGGCAUGUACCACACACCUUCAUACCUGACUUUAAAAGGCCGAUAUACCUUUAUCUGUAAGGCUGUGAAGAAAUAGGUGGAGGAAGAGGACAGAGCACAGUGGGGAGCCGGGAGGGGGGUGCUGUUUCACCCACUGUCUGCGGGGGAUGGACUGCUCAGAGCGGGGAGGUGGGCAGGAGGUGGGAGUGAGCAGGCAGGGGGCCAGGCCUCACCUAGGAGGAUCUGCAGGGCGUUGGUGUGCAGCUCCAGGUUCUCGGUCUGCUGCUCCACCAUAUCCAUGUGCUCUGUGUCCUGGUUGUAGAAGCUGUACACGCAGGCAUAGGCCAGCACCUGUGGGAGCCCGAGUCCUCCCUUUCCGUGCUCAGGCCAGGGGGCCUCCCUGCUUCCUCAUUCCCUCCAUCCAGUCAGGUUAGAGGAAAGCGGCUCAGCCCACCAGAACCCCUUGGCACAUCCCCUGCACCCCCUCCCCGGCCCGCACCACCACCACCUUGCGAGCCUGCUCCAGGCCCCGGCAGGCGUCACUGAGGAAGGUGAAGGAUUUGGGUGGGGGCACCUCCUGGAUGGCAGACACGCGGUUCCGCAAGCUCACGGCGAACUCCUGUGGAGGCGAAGGCGGAUCAGCGCUGCUGCGUGCAGCCCUCCCCCACCCGGUCAGAACAGCACCCACCCAGUUUGGAUCUUUGGCCCCUGCCUGGCCAUCCACCCCAGCCCUCUGACCUUCUCACCGACACCACUGUUUCCUCCCUGCUCACCCGGGCCUGGUGAUGGAAAGUACACCUCUCGUUAUAGUCCUGAAACCGCUUCUCCUGGCGAGCUGCUUUGCUUACCUGGUAAGGGCAGGUUGAGAGGGCUCUAGGGUGCUUUGCUGGGCAGGAUGGGGUUAACACACUAGGUACCCUGCGUGGAGGCCUUCUGACACCUCACCCAGACCUCAUCAUUUAAUCCUAACUCUGUGAAGCAGGUCACAUUAUUAUCCCCUGGUACAGGUGAGGCUGAGGUGUGGGCAAAUGCCCUGGCAGUGGUGCCAGGCUCUGACGCACAGCACCUGCUCUGCUCUGGCCUGGUGCCUCCUGAGAAUAUAGACCUCCCAGGACAGAACUUCCAGCACCUGUAGGCCCAGGCGGCUUCUGUCUUCCCACUGAGCCUCUGUCCCAACAGCUGUUCAGCUGCUCAGGACACCCAGGGCCCAGCAGCAGCAUCCCAUCCUGACUGCCCUUGGGCCUCCUCCUGGCCCCGGCCCUUACCAUGGCAGAGCAGUUGUAGUAGUCUUUGUGACUGGGCUUCCACGACUUGAGGCAGCGCCAGCAAAAUCCAUGGUUGCAUUUGGCACACGUCAUGCUAUGGAGGAAGCUGGCUGGUCAGAGGGCUCCUGGCCGGGGCCACAUCAGGAACACCAAGGGCUUGGGUGCCCCACGGAACAUGCCCCUGGCCCCUCCAUGCCCUUACAGUCUCCUUAACCUCAUCAGUGCCUACUGAGCACACCCUUGCUUCUGAGCCCCUUACAGUGCAAACUUCAAAGCGGGGGUGGGGUGCCUGGGUGGCUCAGUCAGUUGGGUUUCUGACUUGGGCUCAGGUCAUGAUCUCUCAUUUUGUGCGUUCCAACCCCUCAGCAUCAGGCUCUCUGCUGUCAGUGCAGAGCCCGCUUUGGAUCCUCUGUUCCCCUCUCUCUGCCCUCCCCUGCUUGUGCACACACCUCUCUCUCAAAAAUGAAUAAACAUUUCAAGAAAUUAAAAAUUAAAAAAAUAAAGGCGGGGGAAGGAGCAUUAAGAUGCAGGAGUCACUGGGGGCGCCCGGGUGGCUCCGUCGGUUAAGCGUCCAACUCUUAAUUUCGGCCCAGGUCAUGAUCUCACGGUUCACGCAUCUGGCUCUGCACUGACAGCGUGGAGCCGUCUUGGGAUUCUCUCUCUCUCCCUCUCUUUGCCCCUUCCCUGUCCACGCUCUCGCUCUCUCAAAAUAAAUUAAAAAAAAAAAAAAAAAGAUGCAGGAAUCACUGGAGGCCGCCUCCUUCGUUCAGCUCUGUUCAGCCCCACGGCCCCUCUGUACCACCAGGCCUCCCACCCUCUCCCAUGCUCUCUGACCCCACCAAUGACCAAAGUACCCCCUCUUACUGCAGACACCCCUCAUUCUUCUCAAUGGGAGCCUGGCAGCUGGGACAGCGCUUGGAGAUGAGCUUGGCCAGGUGCUUGCUCUGAGCCUCCACGCUCAUGCCAUCAUAGUAGCCGCCAUCAUCGACCCACUGGGACAUGUGGCCACAGCUGGCAGGGUAGUGCGCCUAGGGCAAGAGGGGAGGACAUGGCUGAGCUCUAACCAAGGGUGGCACUGCGAGUGUGUGAGGGAGGGAGGUCACAAGUGGAGGACUACAGGAGGAGGAACAGAGGUCAGCCAGGUGACAGCGUGUGAGGACAAGACAUGGUGUGUGUGUGGGGGGGGGGGUCGCAGAGCGGAGUGCUGGCAGAGGAGAGGUACAGGCCUUGCUCAGGGGCAGGGCUGGGCAGGCACCCACCUCGGGGAAGCUACAGUUGAAGCAGGAGGCCCAGCCACAUUUAGAGCAGGUGGUCCCGCAGCCCAAGCCCUGGCGGCACAGGAUGCGGUCACAGCCCUGGGGGUUGGUGCACCACGUCAGGUUGGAGCAGCUCUCCACAUAGCCACGCAGGAGGGCCUUCUCGUACUAUGGGGGCAUAGGUGCCACCAGGUGAGGGCAUGGCUCUCCAGGAUGCCAUACCUCCAGACCCCCCCUCCCCCCCACCGCCGGCACCCAGAAUGUGGGCCCACCCCCUGGGGCCUGCCCCUCUGGCUGUACACCGAAUCCUCCUGCAGAGGAGGGACUACCUUGGAGAUGACGUCUGGGGAGGAGACAAUGGCCCGAAUGAAGGCUCCAGUGGGCUGUGCAGGGCAGUCAGCAAUGGGGCAGGUGCAAUUCAGCACAAGGUUCUGCUCAAUCCGAGUUGUCAGAUACUCAUUCCAGCAAGACUGGAGGGGAAAGGAGGGGCUGCUUAGGGACAGUAGGGGAGCAGCACAGGAGGACAUCUUGGACUGGUAAUUAACCUAGCACCCCCCUCCUGACUAUGGAAGGCCAGAGACAAGCCUGCUUCUGGAGCAACUUCAAAACUGACCCUAAUCUUUCUGGCUUCUAUGGGUUUUCCUGGGAUUGGCCUAAAUCACAGUUGCCUUUGAGGAUGUGUGGGCCAGGGUAGUGGCCUCAUUUUAAUUAUUGUUGAGAUGGACAUGGAGGGAAUGGGUAAGAGAAUCAGGACAAAGGAGAUGAUUCAAGUUCUAAGAAAGAUCUGGAGAGAGCAAGAAGGCCAGAGAGGAAGGAGGCCUGGGGCAGUAGGAUGCCUUUUCCCUGUGGGGUAGCUGGCCUUGGACACUGCAAACACCGCUGUGGCCUCUCCUCCCAGCUCCAUCUGCUCAUCUAGCUCCUUGGUGCUCCCAUCUUCCCAGACUCAGCCUCUUCUCCACAAAAAAGCCUCACCCACUGAACCCCCCACCCAUCCUGGUCACAGGUGUUGGAACCCUCACAUCUCUUGGAUUCUCUUCUAGCUCCCAUGUCACUGCACCACCCUAAACCAGGCCUUUAUCCCCUGACCCCGAAACUGCUUAUCCCCAUAAACGGUCUUCCUACCCAGAUCCCUCCAAGAAAGGUACUAAACAAAACAAAACCCUUUUUAUGGUGAAAUAAAGCCGGAUAAGUUGGGAAAUUGAAUGCAGAAUUCCUGCAUUUUGGAGAGAAAACAGGAAAAUACUCCAAAUUCAGACUUCAUGCUUGCAGGCAUACGGGUACAACAGGGCCCCUUACAGCCACAGAGGACAAAGGCUGGCAGCUGGGUUUGGAGCCCAUCCCACUCCCCUAAGGAGCCCCUCUGCUGUUGGCUUGCUCUCGCUUCUGCCGCUUCUGCCGUCCCCGCUGCCCAGCCCACCGGGAAUGCAGUCUCCGUCCAGCCUGUACUCCCCUCCCACACCUGCCAACCCUGCCUGUCACUCAAGGCUCACACGGGGAACACCCCCCCCCCCCACAGCCCCCAUCGACAGCUCCAAACCCAGGACUUCCCUUCUCUGAGUUCCCUUACGUUUCAUUGUGCCUCUCAGCUGUGACUUAAACAUAGGCUCCUCCUUGGCUGGGACAUCUCCAAUUAGCCUGUUUUUCUCACUUUCCCUGUCGUUCCAUCUCUACAGGGGGAUCUGUACAGCUCAGCACUCUGGACCUGCUUCUCUCUCUCUGCAGGAUGCCAGCUAGGCCUCUCCACUUAAUUCCAAAUUCUGCUGUCCAGUCCCACACAGGUGUCCAACAAGAAGCUCAAACUUCACAUGGUCAGAACAGACUUAAUUUUCCCUCAAAAACCUGCCCUCCACACCCAGCCCCAGCCCCAACAGCUUGCUAAAUUCAGUAGAAGAUGACAUAUCUCAUCCACCCAGAUGCUCUGGUCAGAAACCCAGGAAGUACCCUUGAUUCCUUUGUCCUAAGCCCCCCAUCAGCUCCACCAAGCCCUGUCAGCUCUGCCUCCUGAUGUACCCCAAUCUGUCCCCUUCUCUCUUCACUGCGAACGCUGGGAAAACACCCACCGCUUCCUGCCUCUUUAUACAACAGUCUCCCAACAGGUGCCCCUGCUUCCACACAAGAUCUGCCCAAGCCUUUCUUCCACACAUGGUGAUCUUUCAGAAAAUGAAAAUCAGAUCCAAUUACUCCCCUGCUUAACUCCAUCGUGGCUUUCCAUAAAGUCAAGCCCACUGUAUGCCAAUCCCAACCCCACUGGGUCCAUCUCCCUCCCAAAUCUCUCCCUCCACUGUCCCACCACAUCACUGUGCUUUAGCCACCAGUCUCAGCUUCUUUGCAAUUGCUGUCCCCUCUGUCUGCCACGCUCUUCCACCAAAUAGUCACCUCUUCAAGGACAGCCUUCCCUGGCCUCCCCAAUCUAAAGUCCCUGACAGGGACUCUCCCCCCACUCCUCACCUCAGUCACUUCCUAUGACAUGACCCUGUUGUAUUUCCUUCCCCUCACUUGUCAUAAAAGCAUGAGGGAGGGCCCUGGAGCAAGACUGCCAAAGUCCAAAUCCUGACCUUGGGCAGGUGACUUCUCCUCCAGGCGCCUCCAUCUGUCACCAGCAAAAUGGGGAUGGUAAAAAUACCGACCUCACACAACUUUCAUGGGAAUUAAGCAAGAUAAUGCAUAUAUAACAGCAGAACGGCCCAGAAUGCAUCCCCCAUAAAUAUUAGCUGCUGAUAUUAUUAGCCCUUCUGGCUUGGAUUUUCCCACCCCCUCAUAUAGCACCCGGUGCUGUGCACACAGUGAGUUCAUGACAAACAUUAGUUGAAUGAAAAAGUGAAAGUGGGAAGGAAAUAAUUAAGAACCAGGAAAAGGGGGGCACAGGAAACCGUGUGAGAAGAGUAACUUGAAGCAGAGCAAAAAAGGAAGGAGGAAAAGUACACGUACACACACAUGCCAAUGCACGCGUCCCAGAUCACCCACCACUGGGGAGACGCUGUUGGGAGAGGCAGCUAGAUUCAGGGCAACAAGCGCGCUCAUCCUGUUAAGUUGAUGUGUUUGGGCUUGGCAUCAGUUCUAAGAGCUGUGAGGCAGGGAACAUGGGACACUCAGCACUCUGGUCCCCUGCACCUCGGCCCCUCUCCCCCGCCACUGAAGACAACUCACUCCCCCAUCUACAGCCUCCUCUGCUCAGCUGUACAGUAGCAAGAUCUGGCUUCCCAUAAUUCCCUUGACUUCUGUGCUAUUCUCAUGUUCUGAGAUAAAGGGACUUGAAUGAUAAUUAGGAAACAUAAACCUAUAGUCAUCAUCAAUGUAAUAACACUUCUCAUUUAUGAAGUGCCUUGAUGUAUAUUUUACGUGUAUGCGUGUGCUACCCAUCUAUCUAUCUAUCUAUCUAUCUAUCUAUCUAUCUACCUACCUACCUACCUACCUACCUACCUAUCUAUAGUUCUCAAACCUGGCUGAACACUGGAGUCACCUGAGGAAUUUUUAAAACUCCAGAUGCCUGGGUUUCACCUCCAGAGAUUCCAAUUUAACAGUUUGAGCAUGAGGACUUUUUAAAAGCUCCCAGUGAUUACAAUAUGCCACCGGCAUAUUUUAGCAUAUUAUUAGCAUAUUCACCUAUUAAAACUUUGCCACUGGCAAAGUUUUAGAGCCACUUAUACAUUUCACUGGAUCCUAACAACAACCACUCUUCAGAGUGUUGAGGCUAGGGGCGCCACUUUUAGAUGACAAAACCAGCUUCAGAGGGACGAAGAGCCUUGUCCGACACUGCCCAGGUUGGGAAAUGGCAAUGCUGGGCUAGAAGCCCAGAGUUCACGAGGAAUUGUGUGGGGCAGGAGAGGGGCAGAAGAGGGGCAGGAGAGGGGCAGGAGAGGGGCAGGCGGGGCCUCACCUUGCAGCAGUAGUGCAUGCAGCAGAGAGAGGGCAAGUCGUCGUCAGGCUCCAGGGGGCUGACACAGACAGGGCAGUGGUCAGGGCGUGCGGGGGCCUCCUGGGCCUGGGGUACACACAGCCCAGCUGCCAGCAGCAGUGGCUCAGGGUUAUCACUGUAGCUCUGCAGCAGCUGUUCAGCACCCCAGUGGGAAUGAGCCAAAAGGUGCUGAGCCACAUCUGCCUCUAGGUUCAGCGUCUCUUGCACCUGCCUCACCGUCUGCUCCAUCAACCCUUCUACCUCCUGGGGGCUCAUGGUGCGGCCUGCAGGCAGCUGGAGAGACGCCAGGGCAGCCACAGCUUCUGGGCUUGAGGGAAGAGGAGAUUCAGCAAUCAAUAUCCCUGCUCUGCUUAUCUACUAAAUGAACCCCACCAUGGCCCUCAGCUCCCCACUUGCGCACGCCUGCUUGCGCCUGCCUAACCAAUCUAAGGGUAGCCACCCAAACCAACUGUCAGAGCUGCUUUCCACAGAAGCGUUUGUAAGUGCCGAGUGGGGCUGGUUGUCACAAUGAUCUCUAACACCCCAGGAAUCUGGUAGGCAGGCAUCGGGAAGCAAACUGACCCACAGUGGAUGGGAUAAUCCCACUGUAAGCCCCACCUAAAACAGCAGCAACACAUCUGGGGAGAAACUGGAGUCUGUGGCCUUACCACUCCAAGUAUGGUCAGUGGGUAUCCCCAUUAGUAUCACAGGGAGCUCUACUGAAUCAGGACCUGCAUUUUAAUAAGAUCCCCAGGUGACGUGUGCAAGUGAAAAUUUGAGAAAGAUUUCUCUAGAGAACUCACUUUAUACACAGUGCAGGCAGCAGGCAUAAAAGUUGUGCCAUAACAACUUCUAGUGAGCUGAAUGUGAUAUAACAAGCUUUAGGGGUGCCAGCUAAUUAGGGGGAUCCUAUGACAAAUUCCUCUGUAGAACAGGCUUCUUGAAGACUAGAGUUUGUACAUUUCAUUGAGCAGAGAGCAUAAUCAGCACUCAAUACACAGUUGUACGAUACUGCAUUUUUGCUUAGAAUGAGAGUUAUCUAUACAGAGGCUUAUGUGUCUGGGCCCCUUGCCUAUGGGCUGACUCUAGGAGAAUGGGGACAGCAGGGACCCUGAUUAGGAAGGCAAAGAAGGGGUGACAGUGCUGGCAGGGGGAAUGAGGACUAGCAAAGUGGGAGAAAUGACAGAGGCAGGGAAAAUGGGGUACACAAAGACAGAAAUGAAGUGCUUUUCCACAAAAGAGCCUGGCCUUGGCACUACAACUCCCGUGUCACUGCAGUGCCGUCUGUCCCUGGGAGCCCAGCCCUCCCUGCUGGCUUGGAGCCCUAGCAGCAAGGAACGGGGCUGGGUACAGCUACCUAGGCUUGGAGGUCUUGGCGGUCUGGUUGCCGCAGAAGGGGACCUCUGCCUGACCCCGGCAAGGCCCCAUAGGCUCUGGGGUGGCAUACAUCAGGAUCUGGGGCCGGUCGUCACGCCGUUCCACAUAGCCCUGGCCCAGGAGGUGCAGGAUGCAAGAAAGGACGUCUGUACUGGUACAGGCCACGCCUCCUGCAACAGCAUGGCCCAGGCUCCCCGGGGGGUUUGGACCCUUCUGCCAGGCCUCCAGCACCUAGAUGGGUGGAGAGGAAACAGGCAGGCCACAUUUACCCAGAGAGGCCGGCAUGCCUGGGUUCAAUGCUCUGCUCUUUCACUUACUAGCUAUGUGACUAUGGAUAAGUUACUAACUCUCAUGCCCCACUCUUUUUACCUGUCAAAUGAGAAUAAGAGUAAAUAAUAAUAAUAAUAAUAAUAAUAAUAAUAAUACCACCACCACCAUCACCACCCCCGUUAGACUGUUGUGCAGAUUAAAUGACCUAAUCAUGCAAACUCUUGGAAAAAGGCCUAGUAUACAGUAGACACUCGUGUCUUGCCUCUGCCUGCUGUCUAACAAACUGCCCUGUCAGGAAUAGAAAACUCCGACAAAAAUGUCACUCUACAAGGUCUCAUACUGACAGAGUUUACCUUCCCUUGUGAUGAUCCCUGGCUCCAAGCCCCGACCCUGAGCAUGACUCCCUCCCUCCCCUAACUUCACGGUCCCCUGGGCCUACCAGACAAACCAGCUGAUCAAUGUGGAGGCCCUUUUCCCCGUGGACUUUGAGAAUACGGACAAUAAGACAGCUCAAGAGGUUCCUCUUCUGUUCCAGAGUUCGGCCCUCAUCC
rnacentral:lncRNA from 1 species